GCAUAUCAAUAAGCGGAGGAAAAGAAACCAACAGGGAUUGCCUCAGUAACGGCGAGUGAAGCGGCAACAGCUCAAAUUUGAAAUCUGGCGCCUUCGGCGUCCGAGUUGUAAUUUGUAGAGGAUGCUAUUGGGUUGCCACCGGUCUAAGUUCCUUGGAACAGGACGUCACAGAGGGUGAGAAUCCCGUAUGUGACCGGCCAGGCGCCUUCUGUAUAGCUCCUUCGACGAGUCGGGUUGUUUGGGAAUGCAGCCCUAAAUGGGAGGUAAAUUUCUUCUAAAGCUAAAUACCGGCCAGAGACCGAUAGCGCACAAGUAGAGUGAUCGAAAGAUGAAAAGCACUUUGGAAAGAGAGUUAAAAAGCACGUGAAAUUGUUGAAAGGGAAGCGCUUGCAAUCAGUCUCGACGGCGGCUGUUCGGCCUCUCUUCUGAGUGGUUUAUUCAGUCGCCGCCGGGCCAGCAUCAGUUUUGGCGGUCGGAUAAAGGCGUGGGGAAUGUAGCUCCUCCGGGAGUGUUAUAGCCCCGCGUGCAAUACGGCCCGCCGGGACUGAGGUCCGCGCUUCGGCUAGGAUGCUGGCGAAAUGGUUGUAAGCGGCCCGUCUUGAAACACGGACCAAGGAGUCUAACAUCUACGCGAGUGUUUGGGUGUCAAACCCGUGCGCGCAAUGAAAGUGAACGGAGGUGGGAACCGCAAGGUGCACCAUCGACCGAUCCUGAUGUCUUCGGAUGGAUUUGAGUAAGAGCGUAGCUGUUGGGACCCGAAAGAUGGUGAACUAUGCCUGAAUAGGGUGAAGCCAGAGGAAACUCUGGUGGAGGCUCGCAGCGGUUCUGACGUGCAAAUCGAUCGUCAAAUUUGGGUAUAGGGGCGAAAGACUAAUCGAACCAUCUAGUAGCUGGUUCCUGCCGA
rnacentral:rRNA from 1 species